CUAAAGCAGGAACUUUGGCUGUUCUCUCCCCUUACUGGAGGGCAUGGCUAAUCCACUGGUGGAUCUUCAGCAAUGGAUUCACCAGCUCUACAGGCAGAAGACCUUCAGCCUACUCCCACUGUACUCUGGGCCCUGCUGAGACAUUAAGACAUUAAGAGUAGAACUCUGCUGCUGCUCCCUUCUUAACACAAGAAACAAGGGUCAAGACACAGGAUGAAGUCUUUGGUUCUGGCUGAUAAAAAUGAGCUGCAUGGGUAGAGAGUUCAGGAGAGCAAAGGAGAUGGAUUGCAGAUUGUGAACCUCAGCAAACAACACUUUUCCUCUUUGUUCAUGAAAAUUCAAGAGGUUGCAAAGCAAUGUUACACUGGACAACA